rnacentral:rRNA from 1 species
CUACGGGCGGCUGCAGUGGGGAAUAUUGGGCAAUGGGGGAAACCCUGACCCAGCGACGCCGCGUGAGGGAUGACGGUCUUCGGAUUGUAAACCUCUGUCUUCGGGGACGAUAAUGACGGUACCCGAGGAGGAAGCCACGGCUAACUACGUGCCAGCAGCCGCGGUAAUACGUAGGUGGCAAGCGUUGUCCGGAAUUACUGGGUGUAAAGGGAGCGUAGGCGGGAAGGCAAGUUGAAUGUGAAAUCUAUGGGCUCAACCCAUAAAUUGCGUUCAAAACUGUUUUUCUUGAGUGAAGUAGAGGCAAGCGGAAUUCCUAGUGUAGCGGUGGAAUGCGUAGAUAUUAGGAGGAACACCAGUGGCGAAGGCGGCUUGCUGGGCUUUUACUGACGCUGAGGCUCGAAAGCGUGGGGAGCAAACAGGAUUAGAUACCCGUGUAGUC